UGGGGAAUUUUCCGCAAUGGGCGAAAGCCUGACGGAGCAAUACCGCGUGAGGGAGGAAUGCCUUUGGGUUGUAAACCUCUUUUCUCAGGGAAGAAGAUCUGACGGUACCUGAGGAAUAAGUAUCGGCUAACUCCGUGCCAGCAGCCGCGGUAAUACGGAGGAUGCAAGCGUUAUCCGGAAUCACUGGGCGUAAAGCGUCCGCAGGUGGUUUCCAAAGUCUGCUGUUAAAGACUGGAGCUCAGCUCCGGAACGGCGGUGGAAACUUGGAAACUAGAGUUCGGUAGGGGUAGCAGGAAUUCCCAGUGUAGCGGUGAAAUGCGUAGGUAUUGGGAAGAACAUCGGUGGCGAAGGCGUGCUACUGGACCGUAACUGACACUCAGGGACGAAAGCUAGGGGAGCGAAAGGGAUUAGAUACCCCUGUAGUCCUAGCUGUAAACGAUGGAAACUAGGUGUGGCUUGA
rnacentral:rRNA from 1 species